AGCGCGCCGGCGUGGCGUCAUCACUGCGCGCCGCCUCGCGUUGCGUGCGCAGCUCCGCCCGAGCCUGAGAAGGCGGAGCUCCCUCCUGUGUAGGGCUGAGCGCGCUUUCCUCCUGCGCCUCCUGUGACUGCCUUGGGUCCCAGGGAAGUGAGACGUCGAGAGUCUCUUUUCCCGGAGGAGGGCGUCUUCCUCGAGGGCUUCCGAGCGGAGACUCAGCCAUGCCGAACUCGAGGCCCAGACCCCGCCGCGGCGCCGGGGGUGGCGCAGGGGCGGCCGGCCGGGACCGGCUGGUGGCGCGGUCCUUGCAGAGCGCUGAGCACUGUCUGGGCGCCCAGGACUUCGGCACUGCCUAUGCCCAUUACCUGCUGGUGCUCAGCCUGGCGCCGGAGCUCAAAGACGACGUGAAGGAAACUUUUCAGUAUACACUGUUCAAGUGGGCUGAAGAGCUUGAUGCACUCAGUCGAAUACAAGACUUACUUGGUUGCUAUGAGCAGGCCUUGGAACUAUUUCCUGAUGAUGAAGUGAUUUGCAAUAGUAUGGGAGAGCAUCUCUUCAGAAUGGGCUUUCAAGAUGAGGCAGCUGGGUAUUUUCAUAAAGCAGUGAAGCUCAACCCUGAUUUCAGUGAUGCAAAGGAGAACUUUUACCGUGUUGCAAACUGGUUGGUGGAGCGCUGGCACUUCAUCAUGCUUAAUGACGCCAAGAGGAACAGGGUUUAUAAUGCAGCCAUCCAGAAGGCCGUGUGCUUGGGCUCCAAAAGUGUUCUGGAUAUUGGCACAGGAACUGGAAUACUGAGCAUGUUUGCUAGACAAGCUGGUGCGCACUCCGUGUACGCCUGUGAAUUGUCCAGGACCAUGUAUGAGCUCGCCUGUGACGUCGUGGCGGCAAACAAGAUGGAGACUGGGAUUCAGCUCCUCCACAUGAAGUCACUUGAUAUAGAGAUUCCAAAACACAUUCCUGAAAGAGUGUCCCUAGUUGUAACAGAAACUGUGGAUGCAGGUGUGUUUGGAGAAGGAAUUGUGGAGAGUUUAAUUCAUGCAUGGGAGCAUUUACUUCUGCAACCAAAGACCAAAGGAGAAAAUCGAAAUUGUGGACAGUAUGGGAAAGUUAUCCCAGCAAGUGCUGUUAUAUUUGGGAUGGCAGUAGAGUGUGCAGAGAUCCGAAGACACCACAGGGUGGGCACUACGGACAUUGCUGGUGUCCAUUUGCCAGCAAAUGUGAAAUUUCAGAGCCCAGCCUACUCUGCUGUAGAUAGUGGAGAAGCAGUUGAACCAUAUACAACUGAGAAGAUGAGUCGGAUCCCUGGAGGGUAUUUGCCUCUGACAGAGUGCUUUGAAAUUAUGAAAGUGGAUUUCAACAGUCUUCAGGAAUUAAAGGGUCUUGCAGCUAAAGAGCCGCAUCCUCUCAGCAUUCCUGCUGUUAAAGAAGGCCUGCUGGAUGCUGUUAUGGUUUGGUUUGUUCUCCAGCUGGAUGAUGAGCACAGUCUGUCCACAAGUCCUGGUGAGGAGACCUGUUGGGAACAGGCUGUUUAUCCAGUACAGGCCCUUGCAGACUACUGGAUAAAGCCUGGGGACCAUGUGACAAUGGAAGCAUCUUGUCAGGACUGUUACCUGAGAAUCCAGAGCAUCAAUAUUCUGAAUUUGGAACAUGAAAUGGAAGUUAUAAAAAAUUUUACCAAGAGUGAAGACUUGCUCUCUCUAGGGAAUGAGGCUCUGCUCUGCAGUGCUCUAGCUAACCUUCAGACCAGUAGAGCAGAUGCUCUGGAGCAGACCUGUGUGUUAGAACCUACAGAGAUUGCUUUGCUCAAUAACAUUCCAUAUCAUGAAGGCUUUAAGAUGGCGAUGAGGAAGGUGUUGUCUUCACUGGCCCCAGAGAAGCUGUGGCAGCCUGUGGAUCCUCCUGGUCAGGAUACUGAGAUGAACUCUGGAAGUGGACAGAGCUCAAUUGCGCCGAGCACCUCUGACCCUUUCUAUGUGUUGGAUGUGUCUGAAGGCUUCUCUCUUUUGCCUAUAAUUGCUGGAACACUUGGUGAGGUUAAGCCCUAUAGUUCUGUGGAGAAAGACCAGCAUUGUGUCACUUUGGACCUCAUAUCUGAAGCCAAUCACUUCCCUAAGGAAACACUUGAGUUUUGGCUGAGACAUAUAGAGGAUGAAGCUGCUGUGUUGCAAAGGCCCAAAUCAGACAAAUUGUGGAGCAUAAUUAUAUUAGAUGUCAUUGAGCCAUCUGGGCUCAUUCAGCAGGAAAUAAUGGAAAAAGCUGCAAUAUCCAGGUGUUUGUUGCAGUCUGGAGGCAAGAUCUUCCCCCAGUAUGUGUUAAUGUUCGGGAUGCUCGUGGAGUCACAGACACUGGUAGAAGAGAGUGCUGUUCAAGGAACAGAGCAUACUCUCGGGUUAAACAUAGCACCUUUUAUUAACCAGUUUCAGGUGCCUAUCCGUGUAUUUCUGGAUUUAUCUUCAUUGCCAUGUAUCCCUUUAAGCCAGCCAGUGGAACUCUUAAGAUUAGAUCUAAUGACUCCGUAUUUGAACACUUCCAAUAGAGAAGUAAAGGUUCGCAUUUGUAGAUCUGGACAAGUGACCGCUGUCCCAUUUUGGUUUCAUUUGUGCCUUGAUGAUGAAGUCAGGCUGGACACCUCAGGCGAAGCCUCCCACUGGAAACAAGCUGCCGUGGUCCUGGAAAAUCCCAUCCGGGUGCAAGUGGGGGAGGAGCUUGUGCUCAGUGUUGAGCAUCACAAAAGCAAUGUCAGCAUCACAGUGAAGCAGUCAUGGUGCUUGGUUGCAGUGAUAGAAACCCUAACUAAGACAAUCAUGGCAGGCAUGGUGCUGGAGAAGGAGUUGAAAGUUCUGCAUUCUGACCCACAGCAGCAGGAAGAGUGAGUGAACCACUGGGUCUGGCUUGAGCUUCUGAAACCUCAAAACCCAUGCCCAGUGACACACUUCUGUAGAUGUAACCAACCGUCUUAUUAAAAAAGAAACACAGAACCAAUACAGAGAUGAAAGCCAAGAGAGACAUAUGCUGGAGCAUUGUCAGUUUUGAUUUGUGCAGGUAUACCCAUGAUGGCCAUAACUUCUAGCAAAUGAGUGAUGACAGAAUCAGCUUUUUCAGAACUCAAAGCAGUUGCCCAUUGAAAUCCUGAGUAAGUAUCGAUGGUAUGGUGUACAUAUUUCAAUUUUCCAAAUUCUGCAAAGUGAAACAUGUCCAUCUGCCAGAUUUCAUUCCUCUGAGUACCCUUGGGUUACAUCCUUCUGGUAAUGGCGUUUGAUUGUAGAAGGAACAAGUAGGACAUUUCUUUACUAUUUCUUUGGCUUGUUGCCAGGUUAUGGAAAAAUCCUUUUUUAAACCUUUACUAUUGACAUGAUGUUUUUUUAUGAAAUUCUGAGGCCUCCAGCACAUUUCCUAUCAAUAAUUUAUCAAUCUCAUCAUUGCCUUGUGCUAGAGGGCCUGGCAGACCAGUAUGGGAUCGGCUGUGAGUUAUAUAUAAAGGAUGACUCCUUUUACUGAUUGUAUCUUGUAAUUGAAUAAAUAGUGAAGUUAAUUCUGAAGCAUCAGGGAUAAAUUCUGCAGUCUCAAUAUGUAAUACUAAUCUUUCAGCAUACUGAGAGUCAGUUACUAUGUUGAGAGGUUCUGAAAAAUCCAUUAAUACCAACAGAAUAGCAUACAAUUCUGAUUUUUGAACUGAAUUAUAAGGACUUUGAAGCACUUUACUUAAAUUUUCUGAUUUGUACCAGGCGGUGGUGGUGCACGCCUUUAAUCCCAGCACUCGGGAGGCAGAGGCAGGCGGAUCUCUGUGAGUUCAAGGCCAGCCUGGGCUACCAAGUGAGUUCCAGGAAAGGCGCAAAGCUACUCAGAGAAACCCUGUCUCGAAAACCCCCCCAAAAAAAAAAUUUUCUGAUUUGUAACCUGCUUUUCCUUGUUUGUUGGCAUCUGUAUAAAAUGUACCAACUCCAGAUAUGGGUUUUUCCUGUACAACUCGAGGCAAGAUCCAAUCAGCUCUCUUUAUAAGAUCAAUUCUAUUGCUUUUGGGAUAUUUGCUGUUAAUUUCUGCCAAAAAAUUACUGCAAGCUCUUUGCCAAGGUUCACUUUCUGUCCAUAAUUUUUCAAUGCCCUCCUUAGUUAAAGGUAUGACAAUUUCUGCUGGGUCUAUUCCUGCUAAUUGACAAAGUCUCAAUUUUCCUUUCCAAAUCAAGUCAGAGAUUUUUUCCACAUAAGUUUUUAAUUUUUUAUUUGGUUUAUUUGGUAAAAAUAUCCAUUCUAAUAUAAUAUCUUCCCUCUGCAUUAAUAUUCCUGUAGGAGAAUGCCUAGAAGGUAAAAUAACCAAAAUGCAAUCCAGCUUUGGAUCAAUAUGAUCCACAUGCCCUUCAUGUACUUUUUUUCCUACCAAGGCCAAUUCUUUCUCAGCUUCAGGUGAUAAUUCUCUUGGACUAUUUAAGUCCUUGUCACCUUCUAAGGUUUUGAACAAAUUAUUCAGUUCAUCAUUUUUUUACCCAAAUAAUAGUUCAUAGAUGAGAAAUAUCUCCAAAUAAUAUUUGAAAGUCAUUAAGUGUCUGUAGUCGAUCUCUCUAAUUUGCACCUUUUGGGGUCUAAUUUUUUGUAGCUCUAUUUUAUAUCCUAAAUAAUUAAUAAAAUCUCCUCUUUGUAUCUUUUCAGGAGCAAUUGUAAUCCCCAGCAAGGCAAAAUUUUCUUUACUUCUUCAAACAUUCUUUCUAAAGUAUCUGCAUUUGAGUCAGCUAGUAAAAUAUCCAUAUAAUGAUAAAUUAUAGAUUUAGGAAACUUUUUACGUUUCACUUCCAAUGGCUGUUGUGCAAUAUAUUGGCACAGAGUUGGGCUAUUCAACAUUCAAUGUGGGAGGACCCUCCAUUGUAAUCUUUUAACCGGUUGAGAAUUAUUAUAAGUAGGCACUGUGAAAGCAAAUCUUUCUCUGUCUUUUUCUUGUAAGGGUAUUGAAAAGAAACAGUCUUUUAAAUCAAUAACUAUGAGAGGCCAUCCUUUUGGUAACAGAGUAGGCAAAGGAAUUCCAGAUUGUAGAGAGCCCAUUGGCUGAAUUACUUUGUUAAUUGCUCUAAGGUCUGUUACCAUUCUCCAUUUACCAGAUUUCUUUUUAAUAACUAAUACAGGAGAAUUCCAAGGGCUGGUUGAUUCUUCAAUAUCCUGAGCAUUUAACUGUUCUUCUACCAGCUCUUCUAAAGUCUGGAGUUUCUCUGUUGUUAAAGGCCAUUGCUGAACCCAUACAGGCUUGUCUAUUAACCAUUUUAAAGGUAGAGCUGUUGGUGUCUUUGGAAGGUCAUCAGUUGUUGUACCCUGUUCUUGUAUAAUAUGGAUGGCUGGUGACCACUCAAUAGAAUAAUAUCUUCUAAUAUUUCUCUCAAAAACAUGUGCUAGUUUAUGAUUUGUUUCUGAGAUUGGAGGAAUGUUAAUCUGAGUAUUCCAUUGUUGCAACAAGUCUCGACCCCACAGGUUCAUAGCUAUGUUAGCCACAUAUGGUUUUAAUUUUCCUCUCUGUCCUUCUGGACCUAUAUAUUUGAGCCAUCUUGCAUUCUGUUUCACUUGAGAUAAUGUUCCAAUUCAUAACAGUUGUACGUUUACCUCCUGAAGAGGCCAAGUUGGAUGCCAAAAUUCUGGUGCAAGUAUGGUAACGUCCGCACCGGUGUCUACCAGACCAGACCAAAAAAAAAACACCAUUUAUUUUUAUCGUUAAUUUUGGUCUUUGUUCAUUAAUAGAAGUUUGCCAAAAAAAUUUAUGUUUUCUCCUGAAUUUUCUGUUCUCUCUGUUUCAUCAUCCCAACCAGCAUGAUUUAUUCCAAUAGGCAUUUGGUUAUUUAAUUGCUCUGAGUAGGGGUUUCCUCUACAACUGCAGGAAAGGUUUGAACUGGAUUUGCUAUGGGGGCCUGCCUGAGGCCCCUCUGGGAGUUUCCCAAAGCCCAAGGCAAAGGAUUACCUUGCCUGUCCCUUGUUGAUCUACAUUCGUUGGUCCAGUGUUUUCCCUUACCACACCUUCUGUAUACUCCAGAAGGAAGGGACAUUCUGUUGCCAUUGUUCCUUGAAGAAACAUUGUUUCUAGGAAUGACCUGUUUACAGUCCCUUUUCAAAUGUCCUUGCUUUCCACAUCCAAAACAUCUAACAUUCCUCAAACCUUUUGAAAUUGCUUCUCCUACCCACAUAUCAUCAUGGUGAUGAGCCUCAACAUUAACCGUGUCUCUAAUCCAAUCUUCCAAAGGUGCAGAUCUUGCCCUAACGGCCUGAUUAUUCUUUUGCAUGCUGCAUUCGCAUUCUCAAAAGCCAAAGAUUCAAUUAUUAUCUGACUAGCUUCUGAAUCCGGGACCAUUCUCUUUACUGCUGAAGCCAGUCUUUGUAAAAAAUCUGUGAAGGAUUCUUUGGGGCCUUGUAUAACCUUUGUAAAUGACUCAGUUUUUUUCCUGGUUCCUCAACUCUGUCCCAUGCAUUCAAGGCUGCCAUUCAACAUAGAAUUAGGAUUUGGACAUCAUAUAAACAUUGUGUUUGUGCUGAAGCAUAUUGGCCUUCUCCAAUAAGCUGAUCCUGGAAGACUUGUAUUCCUUUAUCCCUCCACUGUUUUUCUAUGUUUUUAGCCUUAUCCCUGAACCACAUUUGCCACUGGAGCCUUUGACUGGGUUCCAGAACAGCCUGUGCCAGCUCCCGCCAGUCCUGUGGUAUAAUCCUAUUAUAUGUUGACCAGGAGUUUAUCAUUUGCUUUACAUAUGGGGGAUGCAUGCCAUAAGAUACUAUUGCCUCCUUAAACCUUCAUAAAUUUAACAUUUCAAUUGGAGCCCAAAUAUUUUGUGUAGUCAUUUGAUUAGGCAACUGCUGUAUGGUUACCCGAUAAAUUAAGGGUGAUUGUGUGAAAACAGGCUUUCUUUCUGUAACCUUAUGAUCCAAUCUUGAAACAACUUCACUGUUAAUUUCUUCUGUCUGAAUUUGAAUUUCUCUAUAAUUCAUUUUAACAGGUUUAAUAGGUUUUUCUAAAACUUUUAACCUGGCACUUAAAUUGACUAUCUUUUUAAAUAGUAAAAUGAGGAUAAGCAUCGUAAUAAACUGCAUAAUUCGAUCAACAUUAAUCUUCUCAUACAGUUGUUCCAUUGUCAGGCUGUGGCUUCGGCUUUGGCUCUGCCCGGUGCUUGGGCUGUAGUGCCAGCUCCUGCCCGGGCCUGCUCCAUCGCAGCUCCUCCUCCCACUGGCGUGUACCUGUCCACCCGCCACUCUGGGCCAUCUCGUACAAGCUUGCACGCGCCUUUGUUCGCCACAUUGGGUGCGCGCACUCUCACCACGCAUUCCCGUUUAAGCUUUCUCUUACUCCCAUGAAGGGACUACCUUAAUAGUGAGUUAUUCCCACCAUAAGGAAAAAACAGAAAAACAUUUCCCACUAAGGGAUCCUAAAUAUUGAAUUAUUCCCAUUCUGAGGGAAAAACAAACAAACAAACAAACAAAUAUUUAAACCAAAAUAAGCAAACAGACAGCAAAACUUUAAGCUCUGGGCUUGGUCGUUUUUUAGCCAGCAGCAGUGAGCCUCACCUGCCAACUCUUGGUAAUUCGGGUGUUGGCACUCUGUGCUGGCAGGCAGAAAAAGCUCAGAGUUUUAGCUAUCCUGAAAAUUUUGAAAUUGGAAAGAGCCUUUUCUUUUUCCAUUACCAUUGGGAAGAGGCUUUUUUUCUUUUCUUCAUCCUUUUUCUAUAGGGCCCCAAAAUCUUUAGGCCUAGUUUUAAAUUUUUUUCCUUUUUAUUGGGAAAAUUCUUUUUUUUUUUAAUUAAAAUUUUCUUUCCUUUUCUAACAGGAAAUUUCCUUUCCUUCCCUCUUCUCUAUUGGGAAGAUUUCCUUUUUUAUUUUCAUGAAAUCUUUAGCUGUCUUGCCCUAUCUUAACUUCGGUGCCCUCCUGCUUCAACAGUCCAAUCAACUGACUGUGAGCUAGCUGCACCCAUUUCAAUUCACCCUUAUCUUUUCUUUUUUCUUUAAAUUGCUGGCCAGCCUUACUUGAGUGUCCAUCAGCUACGUCCCUUCUUUCUUGGAUCUUAGUGGGACUUCCAUUUGUUAUGGUAACACCCACACUACCACCACCCAUUCACCAUGUCCGAGUGAGGGGCUGUGGAUUAAAAAAUAAAGACAAGAGACAGCGGGACAUUUGCCCCAGCAGAAUGCCAAAUGCCAUUUAUUGAAGGAGGGAGGAGGCCUUAAAUACAGGCUUACAGCACAAUGGGAGAACCCCAGAGGGCAGAAGUUCACUACCAAUGUUCUACAUUCUUGCAUCUAAGCUGUUUACACCAAAUGCAGGAUACAGGAACAAUGAACCUCCGGUGAGCAUUCAGAAAGAAGGAAACUGGCAGGGAAUCAGCAUAGGGAGGACAUCUGGUCAAGGUCAGCAAGCAAGGCGGCAGCUACCCCAAAUGGGGGGCCAGGGUUCUACAGGUCUCUAUGAGUCAAGGGCAGCCUGGUUUACAGAGGGAGUUUCAGGACAGCCAGGGAUAUACAAAGAAACCCUGUCACACAAAAAAAGAGAAGAGUAAAAGAGUAAGACAUGUAAGAGUUUCAGAAAAUGGUAUUGCAUUUAUUGAAAGACAUGUAAUUGAAGUAUAAUUAUAUAAAAUUAAAUGGUACAUGAUUAUGAUUAAAUUAAAUUAAUAUUAAUCUUAUGUUUACAUUUUCAGUCUAGACAGAGCAUUACAUUCAUGCAGUGAUAAGAAGCACUGAUUUUGUUUUCAAAUGUCCAUCCUCGUGAGAAAUGCAAGUAUUCAGCUGAAGUAGUUUCCUACUGUUUGAAUAUGUGAUACCCUAACAGUUUAAAAAAGCCAAAGCGUAGGAAAUGUAAAUGUUAUUUGUGAUAUAUAAAACAUACAAAUAUAUAUAUAUACUAACAUAUGUGUAUUAGUAUUAUAUGUGUGUGUAUAUUAUAUACAGUAGUUAUAUCUGGUUUUUGCCUACCUUUGAAUUUUUCCAACAUUUUGAACUGUCCAGAUUUUGAGCCUACACACAAAGAGGAUUGUGGAACCUUUAAGAAUGCGUUGAUGGGUUAGGGGGCUCUUUCUACUCUUUGGGGAUAUCUGUCAUGACAUCUUCACAAAGCUUGGCCUCAGAAAGUGUAUCCUAUGAAGCAACUAUGUCUUCCAAGUCUUGAUGUUGGCCUGUAUCAGGAGGUUCCUGCUCUUCUGGAACAUCAAUCACAAUGUCUUCACAUAGCUUGGAUGCAGCAGCUGCAUGAUUACUGUGAAGUAAUCAUGUGUCCAAAGUCCUGAUAUUGGCCCUGGGGUGAGGAUGGCUUUGAAUCUGCAGAAACUGCAUCUUGUGACGAUGAGGAAAGCAGACCUGUGUGUUCAGUAUGCUCUAGGUCUUCAGGAAACAUUUUUUUUUCUGAUACCCUCGCAUUGUUCUCCCUUUAAGAUAAUAUAAAUUUAUUAGCCAAAAGUUAUUUUUACCAUUCUAAAAAUAGUUCUCUUUUUGUUCUCCCAGAUUUGAAGAGCCUGUAUCAUGGUACUGUUUUAAAUAUGUUCUUAUUUCUUAAAUUACUAGAAAAUGUUGUGUAUUUGGGUUGGGGUGAUACCUCAGUCUGUAAAGCACUUGCCACACAAGAAUGAAGACCUGAGUUCCAUCCUCAGCACAGGUCCCAAGCUGGGCAUGCUUGCAGUCCUGUGCUAGUGAGACAGAGUUGGAUCCUGGGGCCUCUGGACAGCAAUCCUAGCUCAAUCUGUGAGCCCCAGGACAGUGAAAGACCCUGUUUCAAAACCCAAGUGCUGUGGGAUGGUCUGUAUGUCAAGUGUGUUGCUGAUUGGUCAAUAAAUCACUGAUUGGCCAGUGACCAGGCAGGAAGUAUAGGUGGGACAAGGAGGAGAAUAAAGCUGGGAAGUGGAAGGCUGAGUCAGAGAGACACUGCCAGCUGCCACGAUGACAAACAGCAUGUGAAGAUGCCAGUAAGCCACGAGCCACAAGGCAAGGUAGAGAUUAAUGAAAAUGGAUUAAUUUAAGCUGUAAGAACAGUUAGCAAGAAGCCUGCCACGGCCAUACAGUUUGUAACCAAUAUAAGUCUCUGUGUUUACUUGGUCGGGUCUGAGCGGCUGUGGGACUGGCAGGUGAGAGAGAUUUGUCCUGACUGUGGGCCAGGCAGGAAAACUCUAGCUACAAAUGGCGUCCAAUGUGGUGGCAAGAGUUUCCACCUAAAACCUGAGAAUAAAGAUUCUAAAACGGA